CGUGGAAACGCGGACGGGAUUGCGAGGCGCGAGCCUCACCCUCCUGUCCGAGAAAGGGGGUAGCGGUGUCGGGGGCGCGGUGUCUGCACCCUAGAACGAAAUACUUCGCCGCCCGGUUGUGACGUCCUCGCACGGCGCUUGCGUGUGAUCCGCACACGCCUUCCUUUAUCUCCGGCCAUGAACAUCACCUGUGCCUGUGUGGUUAGUCUGUGGAAUUCUGCUUCUGCUGUUGUGGUAAUUAACCAUUACUGUUUAUUGAAGCUUUAGUUUAUAGAAAAUGUUGUUGUAAGUUGUUUGUCUACAUCAAUACCCAUGCUAACGGCUGGAUGUUAUUGGGCAUUUGUGCUCUAAAUAGUUUGCAGACUCUUACCAGAUUUCUCAGAGAGCCCGAUAGUCACUUUCAAUAACCAUCUGUUGGUGAGCUAAGGAGGCUGAGACCCCAGCCCCUUCAUUUAGAUGUAUAGUAUGCUUAUAGCUGAUAGAUCAGACAGAUUCAGCCUGAUAGGUCAGAGUGAAGGGGAAUCUACAUUUGCCAUUUCUUAAUCACAUUUUCUGUCAGUUAGUUUUAGGUACAUUCACUUACCUAAGAGCUA
rnacentral:lncRNA from 1 species